GGAAAGACGUAUAAUUUCAUGUCUCACUCGAAGAUCACGCUAUACCUACCUGCAUGACGUUGCCAUUCCGAUAAGCACAACUCGCGCACUGUUGGUCACUAGCUCGAUUGACGUCACUCGCCAAAACCCUUAAAACUGGAAGCGCUGGCAGCGCAAGCCUCCACAACACGCAGCGCUGACAUCCGGUCGCCGCGUCUGAUCAGCCGCCCGAAGCGAGACACGCUGCAUCCGUCAACUGCGUACGCUGCGGAGUACACGAGAACGAAGUCAUGGGCCAACUGAUGAACUGUUGCGGUUUCCAGUGCUGCAGCCGUACCCGAGAAAGGCUGCGUGGUCGACUACCGUGGCUCUUCGGACCCGCGCAGCAACUGGAUCAGGCGCCAGAGCAGCAGCGGAGCCCUGAGCAGCAGCCCGAACAGCAACCCGAAGCGCCGCAACAAGGGCUGGAGAAAGACGCGGAAAAACCGGGACUGCCCUCCAGAGUCCCUCAGAUUCCGAGGCAGCCGUUACGUCGUCCCUAGGCGAAACUCCGACGGUCGUCUCUCCGGCGACAACGUCUUCUGAGAGCCGCGAAGGCCCUCCCGCGCAGGUGGCAAGCAGCUCGAGUGGCCUGCGCUCUACCACUCCUAAGAGCGGCGCCCCUUUGACCGCGAUACAGCUGCGGGAACCGAGGAAACCAUGGCCACCUUGACCUGUACGUCAGACUCCCCCUUGUUCGGCUGGGGCCGCAACGGCGUCGGUCCCUUUUUAUCGUUCGGCAUGUCCGACAUCGUUUAAUAUCGCGCUAUGCAUCACGUUGUUUUUAGCGUUGUUUUUAGCGUUGUUUUUAGCGUUGUUUUAACAUAUAACGUGGUUUUUAACGUGGUUUUUGACGUGGUCUUAACAUAUAACGUGGUUUUUAACGUGGUUUUUGACGUGGUCUUAACAUAUAACGUGGUUUUUAACGUGGUUUUUGACGUGGUCUUAACAUAUAACGUGGUUUUUGACGUGGUUUUUGACGUGGUCUUAACAUAUAACGUGGUUUUUGACGUGGUUUUUGACGUGGUCUUAACAUAUAACGUGGUUUUUAACGUGGUUUUUGACGUGGUUUUAACAUAUAACGUGGUUUUUAUUCCCAAUAAAGCAUCCUUUUACUUCUA